UUUGGGGGAACAUUCAACCUGUCGGUGAGUUUGGGCAGCUCAGGCAAACCAUCGACCGUUGAGUGGACCCUGAGG
rnacentral:pre_miRNA from 10 species